rnacentral:rRNA from 1 species
UACGAAGGGAGCUAGCGUUGUUCGGAAUCACUGGGCGUAAAGCGCACGUAGGCGGAUGUGUCAGUCAGGGGUGAAAUCCCGGAGCUCAACUUCGGAACUGCACCCGAUACUGCCGUGCUUGAGGACUGGAGAGGAGUCUGGAAUUCACAGUGGAGCAGUGAAAUGCGUAGAUAUUGUGAGGAACACUAGUGGCGAAGGCGAGACUCUGGACAGUUCCUGACGCUGAGGCACGAAGGCCAGGGGAGCAAACGGG